rnacentral:rRNA from 1 species
GAUGAACGCUGGCGGCGUGCCUAAUACAUGCAAGUCGAGCGAACAGACGAGGAGCUUGCUCCUCUGACGUUAGCGGCGGACGGGUGAGUAACACGUGGAUAACCUACCUAUAAGACUGGGAUAAAUUCGGGAAACCGGAGCUAAUACCGGAUAACAUGUUGAACCGCAUGGUUCAACAGUGAAAGACGGUCUUGCUGUCACUUAUAGAUGGAUCCGCGCUGCAUUAGCUAGUUGGUAAGGUAACGGCUUACCAAGGCAACGAUGCGUAGCCGACCUGAGAGGGUGAUCGGCCACACUGGAACUGAGACACGGUCCAGACUCCUACGGGAGGCAGCAGUAGGGAAUCUUCCGCAAUGGGCGAAAUCCUGACGGAGCAACGCCGCGUGAGUGAAGAAGGUCUUCGGAUCGUAAAACUCUGUUAUUAGGGAAGAACAAAUGUGUAAGUAACUAUGCACGUCUUGACGGUACCUAAUCAGAAAGCCACGGCUAACUACGUG